AGCAGGCAGAGCAAACUUGUCUCUGCUGCAGAAACACGGAUUAUAGAUCAACAUCCUGGCUCGCCUCACAAAGAACCGCAAUUCUCCUUUCAAUUGUUUUAUGUGUUGCUCAUGUCUGUGUGACUAUAACAGAUGCUUGUUUUGUUUCAGGAAACGAUCAGAUUGGUAUUUGGGGGAAUGAACAACAUAUUUUGUGUUGAAGGCAGGUUUACAUGUAACGUCUCAGGCUGAUGUUAAUUGUAAUUUUUAAUUGCUCAUUCUUUCUCUUCUCAUUUUUGCAGAGACAAGCAUCUGGCCCAAUGACCGGAAACAGCAAAGCAUCUGGCCAAGGGCUUCAAGGUCAACAAAAGGUACCAUCUAAGCGUAAGUAGGCCAUUUGGAAAAAAUCACCUUUCAUGCAAGAGUGCACAACCACGCACGGAGCACUGUACUGCAUGAAAACUGUAAUACUCGAAUAAACAAC
rnacentral:lncRNA from 1 species